rnacentral:rRNA from 1 species
UACGUAGGGUGCAAGCGUUGUCCGGAAUUAUUGGGCGUAAAGAGCUCGUAGGCGGUCUGUCGCGUCUGCUGUGAAAACUCGGGGCUUAACCCCGGGCCUGCAGUGGGUACGGGCAGACUAGAGUGCGGUAGGGGAGACUGGAAUUCCUGGUGUAGCGGUGAAAUGCGCAGAUAUCAGGAGGAACACCGGUGGCGAAGGCGGGUCUCUAGGCCGUAACUGACGCUGAGGAGCGAAAGCAUGGGGAGCGAACAGG